rnacentral:rRNA from 1 species
AACGUAGGACACAAGCGUUAUCCGGAGUUAUUGGGCGUAAAGCGCGCGCAGGCGGUCUUUUAAGUCUGAUGUGAAAGCCCACGGCUCAACCGUGGAGGGUCAUUGGAAACUGGGAGACUUGAGUGCAGAAGAGAAGAGUGGAAUUCCACGUGUAGCGGUGAAAUGCGUAGAGAUGUGGAGGAACACCAGUGGCGAAGGCGACUCUUUGGUCUGUAACUGACGCUGAGGCGCGAAAGCGUGGGGAGCAAACAGG